UACGUAGGGUGCAAGCGUUGUCCGGAAUUAUUGGGCGUAAAGAGCUCGUAGGCGGUUUGUCGCGUCUGCUGUGAAAACCCGCGGCUCAACUGCGGGCCUGCAGCCGAUACGGGCAGGCUAGAGUUCGGUAGGGGAGACUGGAAUUCCUGGUGUAGCGGCGAAAUGCGCAGAUAUCAGGAGGAACACCGGUGGCGAAGGCGGGUCUCUGGGCCGAUACUGACGCUGAGGAGCGAAAGCGUGGGGGGCGAACAGG
rnacentral:rRNA from 1 species